rnacentral:rRNA from 1 species
UACAGAGGUCUCAAGCGUUGUUCGGAUUCAUUGGGCGUAAAGGGUGCGUAGGCGGCGCGGUAAGUCGGGUGUGAAAUCUCGGAGCUUAACUCCGAAACUGCAUUCGAUACUGCCGUGCUUGAGGACUGGAGAGGAGACUGGAAUUCAUGGUGUAGCAGUGAAAUGCGUAGAGAUCAUGAGGAAGACCAGUGGCGAAGGCGGGUCUCUGGAUAGUUCCUGACACUGAGACACGAAGGCUAGGGGAGCAAACGGG